rnacentral:lncRNA from 1 species
UUGAUAAAAGAAUAUUGAUGAAUUCAUUCUGCAACCUCAAACUCAAAGAAUAAAUACAGAAAAAAAUCAUUUUGAUUUGCUUGUUCCUGAAAAUAUUUUAUGGUCUAGACGUCGUAGAGAAUUGAGAAUUCGAAGUUUUUUUAAUUCUUUGAAUUGCAACCUCAAACUCAAAGAAUAAAUACAGACAAAAAUCAUUUUGAUUUGCUUGUUCCUGAAAAUAUUUAAUGGUCUAGACGUCGUAGAGAAUUGAGAAUUCGAAGUUUUUUCAAUUCUUUGAAUUGGAAUGGCAUCGAUAGAAAUUCAGUAUUUUGCAACGAAAACAAUGUAAAAAACUGGAGUCAAUUUUUGGAUGAAAGGAAACCU